AUUGAACGCUGGCGGCAUGCCUUACACAUGCAAGUCGAACGGUAACGGGCCUUCGGGUGCCGACGAGUGGCGAACGGGGGAGUAAUACAUCGGAACGUGCCCGAUCGUGGGGGAUAACGAGGCGAAAGCUUUGCUAAUACCGCAUACGAUCUACGGAUGAAAACAGGGGACCGCAAGGCCUUGCGCGGACGGGGCGGCCGAUGGCAGAUUAGGUAGUUGGUGGGAUAAAAGCUUACCAAGCCGACGAUCUGUAGCUGGUCUGAGAGGAUGAUCAGCCACACUGGGACUGAGACACGGCCCAGACUCCUACGGGAGGCAGCAGUGGGGGAUUUUGGACAAUGGGCGCAAGCCUGAUCCAGCCAUGCCGCGUGCAGGAUGAAGGCCUUCGGGUUGUAAACUGCUUUUGUACGGAACGAAAAGCCUUCUUUUAAUACAGGAGGGUCAUGACGGUACCGUAAGAAUAAGCACCGGCUAACUACGUG
rnacentral:rRNA from 1 species